AUUGAACGCUGGCGGCAUGCCUUACACAUGCAAGUCGAACGGCAGCACGGGGGCAACCCUGGUGGCGAGUGGCGAACGGGUGAGUAACAUAUCGGAACAUACCCUAGAGUGGGGGAUAACGUAGCGAAAGUUACGCUAAUACCGCAUACGAUCUAAGGAUGAAAGUGGGGGAUCUUCGGACCUCAUGCUCAUGGAGUGGCCGAUAUCUGAUUAGCUAGUUGGUGAGGUAAAGGCUCACCAAGGCGACGAUCAGUAGCUGGUUUGAGAGAACGACCAGCCACACUGGAACUGAGACACGGUCCAGACUCCUACGGAGCAGGCAGUGGGGAAUUUUGGACAAUGGGGGCAACCCCUGAUCCAGCAAU
rnacentral:rRNA from 1 species